rnacentral:rRNA from 1 species
GAUGAACGCUGGCGGCGUGCCUAAUACAUGCAAGUCGAGCGAACAGACGAGGAGCUUGCUCCUCUGACGUUAGCGGCGGACGGGUGAGUAACACGUGGAUAACCUACCUAUAAGACUGGGAUAACUUCGGGAAACCGGAGCUAAUACCGGAUAAUAUAUUGAACCGCAUGGUUCAAUAGUGAAAGACGGUUUUGCUGGCACUUAUAGAUGGAUCCGCGCCGCAUUAGCUAGUUGGUAAGGUAACGGCUUACCAAGGCAACGAUGCGUAGCCGACCUGAGAGGGUGAUCGGCCACACUGGAACUGAGACACGGUCCAGACUCCUACGGGAGGCAGCAGUAGGGAAUCUUCCGCAAUGGGCGAAAGCCUGACGGAGCAACGCCGCGUGAGUGAUGAAGGUCUUCGGAUCGUAAAACUCUGUUAUUAGGGAAGAACAAAUGUGUAAGUAACUAUGCACGUCUUGACGGUACCUAAUCAGAAAGCCACGGCUAACUACGUG